UACAGAGGUCUCAAGCGUUGUUCGGAUUCAUUGGGCGUAAAGGGUGCGUAGGUGGUGCCGUAAGUCGGAUGUGAAAUCUCGGGGCUCAACCCCGAAACUGCAUUCGAUACUGCGGUGCUCGAGGACUGGAGAGGAGACUGGAAUUCACGGUGUAGCAGUGAAAUGCGUAGAUAUCGUGAGGAAGACCAGUGGCGAAGGCGGGUCUCUGGACAGUUCCUGACACUGAUGCACGAAGGCCAGGGGAGCAAACGGG
rnacentral:rRNA from 1 species